GACGAACGCUGGCGGCGUGCUUAACACAUGCAAGUCGAACGGAAAGGCCCUGCUUUUGUGGGGUGCUCGAGUGGCGAACGGGUGAGUAACACGUGAGUAACCUGCCCUUGACUUUGGGAUAACUUCAGGAAACUGGGGCUAAUACCGGAUAGGAGCGCCUGCUGCAUGGUGGGGGUUGGAAAGUGUCGGCGGUUGGGGAUGGACUCGCGGCUUAUCAGCUUGUUGGUGGGGUAGUGGCUGACCAAGGCUUUGACGGGUAGCCGGCCUGAGAGGGUGACCGGCCACAUUGGGACUGAGAUACGGCCCAGACGCCUACGGGAGGCAGCAGUGGGGAAUAUUGCACCAUGGGCGGAAGCCGGAUGCAGCAACGCCGCGGGCGGGAUGACGGCCUUCGGGUUGUAAACCGCUUUCGCCUGUGAAGAAGCGGGAGUGACGGUAACGGGUAAAGAAGCACCGGCUAACUACGUG
rnacentral:rRNA from 1 species